rnacentral:tRNA from 1 species
GCAUCGGUGGUUCAGUGGUAGAAUCCUCGCCUGCCACGCGGGCGACCCGGGUUCGAUUCCCGGCCGGUGCA